UCCACUUCUAGCUUUCAAUCAACAAUAGCAAUAACUUUCUUAGUUGGAUGAAACUAGAUUUGUUCACAUUAGUAUUAGAAAUUUAAGUUAUUAAAUAAGGAAAUAGAAGAAACACCUAUGAGGAGAAACAAUAUUGAUAGGUACCGUAAAUUACAACAAAAUAUAUUAAAUUUAUGGUUUGGGUGCCAACUUUAAAACAUAAAACCAUAAAUUAGAUCCAAGGCAUAAAUCAAAAGAAAAAAAAUAAAAAUAAAAAUACAUAGAGCUCCACUUUGGAUGAUAAUGCAACACACAACAUUAAGCAUUGCGAUACAAAUUUUGUUCUACUUCAUUUGAUAACUAAAUGCACAUUCGGCAGACAUGUUUGCUAUCUUAAGAUAUACAAAACAAAUCUAAUAGGGUAAUAUCAAUACUUUACUAAUGUUUAUUAUUUAUAGAAAUAAUUGGUCUAUGUUGGCCAAUCUUUAAACAUCUUCUAAAUAAUCAACUUUAGUAUACCAAUGAUACAUUAUGUCUUUUUCAUUUAUAACUGUUAACAAUUCAUGGGCAACCCAAUAUUUUAUAUGUAAAAGCUUGAUGUCCAUGAAUUUUUCGGGUUUGGUCACUUUGAUGACUAACAAACUAACUAAUUCUUGUUAACUAUAGUCUAUAGCCAAUUCACCGGUAAUAUAUACUUUUGAAUUUAAUUUUUCUUAGCCAUGGAUGAGUCAUGGGUUAACAAGAUAAAGCAAAUAUAUAUACAUACAUACAUACAUAUAAGCACACUAUAACAAAAUGGAACUUAAGGAUAGAUGUUAAUCUAAAUCUUAGGACUUUAUGAUUUUUAUAAACCUAAAAAAUAAAGGUAGUAUACGUACCUUGAUCCAUAGGUAUAGACUUGGAAACACAAUUUUCUAGAAGCCAAAUGAAGAAAUUGUAUCUCUCUCUCUUCCAUGCCACUAAGCUGCUAAUAGCAUGGAGAAAGGGCCAAUUUUCUUCAAUAAUUAAAGUUCUACUUUCCAUCAAAAUGCAAUUAUUUAUCAAACACUUCACUUACACUAAAGGAUCAACAACACCAGAAACACCCAAUAUUCAUCUAUGAUAUGCAAGAAUGGGAAAAUGAUAUAUGCAAGAAGAUUUUCAAAAUCCCAUAAACUUGUAAUUUCCUUAUUACACUAAAGUUUCCAUUUUGAAAAAUAAAUACAAUGGAAUUUUCAUUAGAGAUAGUUUAUCAUUAAAAGGUAUUAUCAAAAUACUUAAUAAUUUGAUGGAAAUAAAUUUAUUUGAAAAUGUUUCCCACAUAAAAUAUUUAUUGAUUGGAGUUGUUUAAGAUAAGGAGAAUUUUUUUUGUAUGAAAAUAGAUUUUAAAAUUUGAUAGUAGAUAUUCUAUCAAAAUUUAUUUUUGGAAUACAAUACUAUAAUAGAAAAUUUAAAAAUUUCAGGAUCACAUUAUCCUAUUAUACUAAAUUUUCAAUUAAGAAAUUAAUAUAUUUAAAAAAUUUCAAAGAAAAUAAUUUAUUUAUCAAGGCAAUUAUUAACGUUUUAAAAGACUUAAUUCAUGCACUCAAAAUAUUAAGUGGGAGAAGGCCUUAGGAAAGGUCACAACCUUUGUUGUUGAACCCAUCUUGAUUUGGAUUCAUCACCACCCCACUGAUGGGUUGUACCCUAUAGUGGAAGCAUCCACCCCACUGAUGGGGUCUUCACUUGGUGACAUUGAUGUCAAGGUCAAGGGUUAUACACUUAACUUGGAUAUGAAGUGGUUGAAUCGCUCAUCGCUAGUCCCACUUGCAUAGUCUAAGGGCCAAACUUUAAGGUAUGUUGAUUUUUUGCUAAACUAUUGUUUGUCUUGAAUGCUCAAUUAUAUUAAAUGCAUGGUUGUUUUCUUUUUAUAGAUAUCAUGCUUGUUUGUUAUCACUUUCUUUCUCACAUUGAACUAAACCCAACUAUUCUUUUGGACUAAACAAAUAUUUUGGAUUUAGUAAAUAAUACCAUAGAAGCUAAUUGAAGUGAAGCUACCUAUUCCUUAUGAACAAACCUAGUAGGAAGAAAGAGUGGUAUAUUAAAUGUGAUAUAAGACGAAUAAGAAAACCAAGUCUUUCAUACUUGGAUCUUUGGAUAAUGUGUUGUCAUAACAACACAUAUCAUUACCAAGGAUUUUGAAUUAUCUUUUUAUUUUGUAAGGUUUAUUUGGUGCUAAGGGCAAGUUAGCUUCGAUAAGCUACCCUAAAGACUAUUAUGAACAAUAAGUUUUAUAUGAUCAUAGAGAAGUUAUCAAAUUCCUUCGAGAUGGUUAAGAGGAUUCUCAAAGAUUAUGAAGAUGUUUAUAUGAGAGUCAAGGGUUCUUCAGGUUCUCCUAUCAAGAAAAAGAAGAACAUCAAAUUAAGAAAGUUUAGGAGAAUGAAUAAAAAAACAAGCUUAUAGGUGUAAGUGAUUUCUUUAUGCCCUUCUAGGACACUAGAAAGGGAGUGCCUAGUUUAACUAUGGAAAAAAGAAAGUACACAUUCUCAUUGUUGAAUGUACAAUGGUGGAUUUCACCAAUUAGGGUGGAUAGAUUCUAGGAGAAGGUUGCAUGUUGAGAUUGUACUUACCUUAGUUUUAGUUGCAAAGUUAGUUGUGCAGAUAUUAUUAUUAUUAUUAUUAUUAUUAUGACUCUAUUAUCACUUUGCCAAGUAAUGAGAAUAGUCAUAUCUCACUAAAGGAAUGAAUUUAGCACCAAUCAAACAUCUAGCUUCUAAAGUGUAGGGGGCAUUUUGAUUAAAGGAUAUUUCAACCUAUGAAUCUUGUGUAGGUGGUAAAAUGAAACAUUGCUCUUAAACAAGUGAAAACCUUCAUUCCCAAGUUUAAAAGGGAAGCUAACAAUGUUAGGUUUUGGCAAAGAAAUUAAAUUGUGAGAAACUAACCACUUCUAGUAGGACUUUGUCUUGACUUCCCUCUAAGACAAAGUUUUCAUUUGGUUUUAUGGUUUAGAUCAUAAGGAAUCCUUUUCCUUUUGAACAAUGUCAUACAAAAUUGAUAAUCUUUGUAAUGAUACUUUAGUUUCUUAUAAACUAACAUUUAUCAUUCUUAUAUUCCUUCUUUUCAACUUUAAAAGACUCAUUGAUGACUUACAUGAUGAACUAAAUGAGAACGUUGUUGAUGCAGCCUCCUUUUGCACAAACAUACUAGUCAAUUUAUUAAUAUUCCACUUAGAUAAUUCAUUUGAAGUAAUCGAUAUUAUUUUGGAAGCAAUGAAUUGAGUAUGAAUUGUGAUAGAAAACACUCAUGCACUUUCAUCCUUGAAUUCUUAGCGCUUUUGCUAGGUUUGUUGUCUCAAGGAUGUGCUCAUGUAUGCCACGUGAACUAUCAAAUUUCAUGUUGGUAAAUUUGGCCAUAUAUCUUAGCAAGAGACUUAUAAUUAGUUUAGAAUGUUUUUUGAAAAAUUUUAUCAAUUCCUUACCACUUUCAAUUUUAGGAAGAGUAGUCUUGAUAUUUGGUACAAAAUCACUAGCAUAAAAAUUAAACUUAAUGUGUUUGAGUUUUCGUAAACCUUAUGGAAGACCCUUUCUCCACUUCUAGCUUUCAAUCAACAAUAGCAAUAACUUUCUUAGUUGGAUGAAACUAGAUUUGUUCACAUUAGUAUUAGAAAUUUAAGUUAUUAAAUAAGGAAAUAGAAGAAACACCUAUGAGGAGAAACAAUAUUGAUAGGUACCGUAAAUUACAACAAAAUAUAUUAAAUUUAUGGUUUGGGUGCCAACUUUAAAACAUAAAACCAUAAAUUAGAUCCAAGGCAUAAAUCAAAAGAAAAAGUAAAUAAAUAAAAAUACAUAGAGCUCCACUUUGGAUGAUAAUGCAACACACAACAUUAAGCAUUGCAAUACAAAUUUUGUUCUACUGCAUUUGAUAACUAAAUGCACAUUC
rnacentral:lncRNA from 1 species